GGAGGCAGCAGUGGGGAAUAUUGCACAAUGGGCGCAAGCCUGAUGCAGCCAUGCCGCGUGUAUGAAGAAGGCCUUCGGGUUGUAAAGUACUUUCAGUCGUGAGGAAGGUAGUGUAGUUAAUAGCUGCAUUAUUUGACGUUAGCGACAGAAGAAGCACCGGCUAACUCCGUGCCAGCAGCCGCGGUAAUACGGAGGGUGCGAGCGUUAAUCGGAAUUACUGGGCGUAAAGCGCAUGCAGGUGGUUUGUUAAGUCAGAUGUGAAAGCCCGGGGCUCAACCUCGGAAUUGCAUUUGAAACUGGCAGACUAGAGUACUGUAGAGGGGGGUAGAAUUUCAGGUGUAGCGGUGAAAUGCGUAGAGAUCUGAAGGAAUACCGGUGGCGAAGGCGGCCCCCUGG
rnacentral:rRNA from 1 species